GAUGAACGCUGGCGGCGUGCUUAACACAUGCAAGUCGAACGGGAAACCUUUUAUUGAAGCUUCGGCAGAUUUAGCUGGUUUCUAGUGGCGGCCGGGUGAGUAACGCGUGGGUAACCUGCCCUAUACAGGGGGAUAACAACCAGAAAUGGUUGCUAAUACCGCAUAAGCGCACAGGGCCGCAUGGUCCGGUGUGAAAAACUCCGGUGGUAUAGGAUGGACCCGCGUUGGAUUAGCCAGUUGGCAGGGUAACGGCCUACCAAAGCGACGAUCCAUAGCCGGCCUGAGAGGGUGAACGGCGACAUUGGAGGUGAGACACGGCACAGACUCCUACGGGAGGCAGCAGUGGGGAAUAUUGCACAAUGGGGGAAACCAUGAUGCAGCGACGACGCGUGAAGGAAGAAGUAUCUCGGUAUGUAAACUGCUAUCAGCAGGGAAGAUAGUGACGGUACCUGACGAAGAAGCCCCGGCUAACUACGUG
rnacentral:rRNA from 1 species